rnacentral:rRNA from 1 species
GAUGAACGCUAGCGGGAGGCCUAACACAUGCAAGCCGAGCGGUAUUUGUUCUUCGGAACAGAGAGAGCGGCGUACGGGUGCGGAACACGUGUGCAACCUGCCUUUAUCUGGGAGAUAGCCUGUCGAAAGGAAGAUUAAUACCCCAGAAUAUAUUAAGUGGCAUCACUUGAUAUUGAAAGCCCCGGCGGAUAAAGAUGGGCACGCGCAAGAUUAGAUAGUUGGUAGGGUAACGGCCUACCAAGUCAGUGAUCUUUAGGGGGCCUGAGAGGGUGAUCCCCCACACUGGUACUGAGACACGGACCAGACUCCUACGGGAGGCAGCAGUGAGGAAUAUUGGACAAUGGGUGCAAGCCUGAUCCAGCCAUCCCGCGUGAAGGACGACGGCCCUAUGGGUUGUAAACUUCUUUUGUAUAGGGAUAAACCUUUCCACGUGUGGAAAGCUGAAGGUACUAUACGAAUAAGCACCGGCUAACUCCGUGCCAGCAGCCGCAGUAAGAC